AGCAUAUAUUUUGACUUAUGUUACGGCCAUAAGAGAGGUAUAAAUAUACCGUAUGUUU
rnacentral:tRNA from 1 species